rnacentral:rRNA from 1 species
AUGUGGCGCGCGGAAGGGAAGGGGGAGAAAUCAUGGGGACCUCGGCGUGGAUCUGGCACGGCACGGAGCCGGGUGUCUCGUCGUCGUCGGCGUCGCGUCGUCUGUGGACUUGGAGGCAUGGGGCGCUUUCGCGUGGGGCCCGCGGCGGUAUCGGUAUCGGGGAGGCGAUUACGUACGGGACAGUUGGAGGUGUUGACCCGGUCCCCAUACGCAGCACGUAAACGGGUGGGGUCUCGCGCGCAGCUGUGGCCUCGUCUUGCUGCCGCCUGCCGUCUCUGGGACGGUCACCACCGUCCACCGGCUUCGGCUUUGGCUUUGCUUGCUCGCGCGCUUGCGGUCGGACUUUGCGGCGGGGUCUACGAGAUUUUUCGCCAAAAUACGAGAUGUGCACGAGGGGCCCUUAACUCUGAGGCGUCUUUUGUGCGAGUCGUGGAGAGGAAGUCUCCGAGGUAG